AUUGAACGCUGGCGGCAUGCCUUACACAUGCAAGUCGAACGGCAGCACGGGGGCAACCCUGGUGGCGAGUGGCGAACGGGUGAGUAAUACAUCGGAACGUGCCCGGUAGUGGGGGAUAGCUCGGCGAAAGCCGGAUUAAUACCGCAUACGACCUGCGGGUGAAAGCGGGGGAUCGCAAGACCUCGCGCUAUCGGAGCGGCCGAUGUCAGAUUAGGUUGUUGGUGGGGUAAAGGCCACCAAGCCGACGAUCUGUAGCUGGUCUGAGAGGACGACCAGCCACACUGGGACUGAGACACGGCCCAGACUCCUACGGGAGGCAGCAGUGGGGAAUUUUGGACAAUGGGCGCAAGCCUGAUCCAGCCAUGCCGCGUGCGGGAAGAAGGCCU
rnacentral:rRNA from 1 species